rnacentral:rRNA from 1 species
UACGGAGGAUCCAAGCGUUAUCCGGAUUUAUUGGGUUUAAAGGGUGCGUAGGCGGCCUAUUAAGUCAGGGGUGAAAGACGGUAGCUUAACUAUCGCAGUGCCUUUGAUACUGAUAGGCUUGAAUAUACUUGAGGUAGGCGGAAUGUGACAAGUAGCGGUGAAAUGCAUAGAUAUGUCACAGAACACCAAUUGCGAAGGCAGCUUACUAAAGUAUGAUUGACGCUGAGGCACGAAAGCGUGGGGGAUCAAACAGG